AGACCCGAAACCCGGUGAUCUAGCCAUGGGCAGGUUGAAGGUUGGGUAACACUAACUGGAGGACCGAACCGACUAAUGUUGAAAAAUUAGCGGAUGACCUGUGGCUGGGGGUGAAAGGCCAAUCAAACCGGGAGAUAGCUGGUUCUCCCCGAAAGCUAUUUAGGUAGCGCCUCGUGAAUUCAUCUCCGGGGGUAGAGCACUGUUUCGGCUAGGGGGCCAUCCCGGCUUACCAACCCGAUGCAAACUGCGAAUACCGGAGAAUGUUAUCACGGGAGACACACGGCGGGUGCUAACGUCCGUCGUGAAGAGGGAAACAACCCAGACCGCCAGCUAAGGUCCCAAAGUCAUGGUUAAGUGGGAAACGAUGUGGGAAGGCCCAGACAGCCAGGAUGUUGGCUUAGAAGCAGCCAUCAUUUAAAGAAAGCGUAAUAGCUCACUGGUCGAGUCGGCCUGCGCGGAAGAUGUAACGGGGCUAAACCAUGCACCGAAGCUGCGGCAGCGAACGUAUCACCCAAGACAACUUUACGGAGUUGACGAUUGACGGAGCGAAGCGACGUCAAAGCGUUCAUUAAAGUCGAGUUGGCUUAGGGAUACGUUCGUUGGGUAGGGGAGCGUUCUGUAAGCCUGUGAAGGUGUGUCGUGAGGCAUGCUGGAGGUAUCAGAAGUGCGAAUGCUGACAUAAGUAACGAUAAAGCGGGUGAAAAGCCCGCUCGCCGGAAGACCAAGGGUUCCUGUCCAACGUUAAUCGGGGCAGGGUGAGUCGACCCCUAAGGCGAGGCCGAAAGGCGUAGUCGAUGGGAAACGGGUUAAUAUUCCCGUACUUGGUGUUACUGCGAAGGGGGGACGGAGAAGGCUAUGUUGGCCGGGCGACGGUUGUCCCGGUUUAAGCGUGUAGGUGUGUGUUCCAGGUAAAUCCGGUUCACUUUAACACUGAGGCGUGACGACGAGGCACUACGGUGCUGAAGCAACAAAUGCCCUGCUUCCAGGAAAAGCCUCUAAGCAUCAGGUAACACGAAAUCGUACCCCAAACCGACACAGGUGGUCAGGUAGAGAAUACCAAGGCGCUUGAGAGAACUCGGGUGAAGGAACUAGGCAAAAUGGUGCCGUAACUUCGGGAGAA
rnacentral:rRNA from 1 species